GGAAGGUUUGGCACAGCAACCAACUCACCAGCUCUCCCUGCUGAGGUGACCUCUGAGAGCAGAGCAGGGAGGUCUGAGGAUGGGAGGAGGUCUGGAUGUGCUUGGGGCACAGCAAGGCAGCACCCACUCAGACAUGGCUGGGCACCUUCAGCUGCUCAGAUUACCCACCCUCACCCCAGGGACUCACCUGCACUGCCCAACUCCACCAAUGCCAGGGUUUGGUUUGUGAAGGGCUGAAGGAAUCUGGGAAACAGGGAGGACGUAAGAACUAUUAAGAGCUGUAGAAUGCUGAAUACCAAAAUCCCUACCCCUCCUGUAGUAAAUUUUAAAAUUAUAUGACUCCCUAAGGUUCCACUGGAAGCAAAGCAUAAAGGAGAGAAGGAGGAACAACCAGCUGCCAGUGGUGGAAUGUAAGUGAAGAGGAUACUGUGACAUGAAGAUAUGAAGAUACAUGAAAUUACUUAGAUCAGCAGAAAUAAUUUAUUUUUCAUAUGAUGUUCCAUUGUUCUAUAUUUAAUCCAGGCAAGCUUUUUAAACACUGAAUUCAAAGUAUCUCCAGCAUGUUCAUUUCUGACAAAUUAAAAAAUAUAAAGACAA